rnacentral:rRNA from 1 species
AACUUACCAGGUCAAGACAUGGGCGUGAUUGACAGGCUAAUGACUUUUCUCGAUUCCAUGGAUGGUGGUGCAUGGUCGCACUUAGUUGGUGCAGUGAUUUGUCAGGUUUAUUCCGGUAACGAACGAGACCUCGGCCUUGUAAAUAGCUAUGCUGCUUACAGGGACAUUGGCGGCUACGCCAAGGAAGCUCGAGGCAAUUGCAGAUCUGGAAUGCCCUUAGAUGUCCUGGGUCGCACGCGUGCUACAAUGACGCCACGAACGAGCUUGCGUGAUGAAAGUUACGCAUAAUCAGCAGUCGGCGUCUUAAGGGAUAGUCUCUUGUAACUGUGGGACUCCAACUAGGAAUGUCUCGUAAGCACAAGUCAACAUCUUGUGUUGAUUACGUCCCUGCUCUUUGUACACACCGCCCGUCGCUCCUACCGAUCGAGUGUUUAGGUGAAUUUGAUGGACGUAAGGAAGUCAAAUAAACCUGAGCACUAGAGAAGAGAAGUCGAGCAUGU